rnacentral:rRNA from 1 species
GAUCAUGGCUCAGGAUGAACGCUAGCGGCAGGCUUAAUACAUGCAAGUCGUGGGGCAGCAGGUUUGUAGCAAUACAGAUGCUGGCGACCGGCAAACGGGUGCGGAACACGUACAGAACCUUCCUUUGAGCGGGGAAUAGCCCAGAGAAAUUUGGAUUAAUACCCCAUAGUAUAAUGAAGUGGCAUCACUUUAUUAUUAAAGAUUUAUCACUCGAAGAUGGCUGUGCGGCUGAUUAGGUAGUUGGCGGGGUAAAGGCCCACCAAGCCUGCGAUCAGUAACUGGUGUGAGAGCACGACCAGUCACACGGGCACUGAGACACGGGCCCGACUCCUACGGGAGGCAGCAGUAAGGAAUAUUGGUCAAUGGAGGCAACUCUGAACCAGCCAUGCCGCGUGGAGGAUGAAGGUCCUCUGGAUUGUAAACUUCUUUUAUAUGGGACGAAAAAGGCUUUCUAAGUCGUCUGACGGUACCAUAUGAAUAAGCACCGGCUAACUCCGUG